rnacentral:rRNA from 1 species
UGGGGAAUAUUGCGCAAUGGGGGAAACCCUGACGCAGCAACGCCGCGUGAGUGACGAAGGCCUUCGGGUCGUAAAGCUCUGUCGGAGGGGAAGAAACUACCAAUGGCUAACAUCCAUAGGUAUUGACGGUACCCUCAAAGGAAGCACCGGCUAACUCCGUGCCAGCAGCCGCGGUAAUACGGAGGGUGCAAGCGUUGUUCGGAAUUACUGGGCGUAAAGCGCGUGUAGGCGGCUAAUUAUGUCAGGUGUGAAAGCCCUCGGCCUAACCGAGGAAGUGCGCCUGAAACUGAUUAGCUUGAGUACGAGAGAGGAGGACGGAAUUCCCAGUGUAGAGGUGAAAUUCGUAGAUAUCUGGAGGAACACCAGUGGCGAAGGCGGCUUCCUGGACCAACACUGACGCUCAGGUGCGAAAGCGUGGGUAGCAAACAGGAUUAGAUACCCAUGUAGUCCCUGAGCGGGCUGGCAAGGCGCAU